rnacentral:rRNA from 1 species
CACGCAGGCGGUCUGUCAAGUCGGAUGUGAAAUCCCCGGGCUCAACCUGGGAACUGCAUUCGAAACUGGCAGGCUAGAGUCUUGUAGAGGGGGUAGGAAUUCCAGGUGUAGCGGUGAAAUGCGUAGAGAUCUGGAGGAAUACCGGUGGCGAAGGCGGCCCCCUGGACAAAGACUGACGCUCAGGUGCGAAAGCGUGGGGAGCAAACA